rnacentral:piRNA from 1 species
UGGGCUGCUGAUCAGCUGGUUACAGGAAUC